AUUGAACGCCGGCGGCAUGCUUUACACAUGCAAGUCGAACGGCAGCGCGGGCUUCGGCCUGGCGGCGAGUGGCGAACGGGUGAGUAAUACAUCGGAACGUGCCCAGUAGUGGGGGAUAGCUCGGCGAAAGCCGGAUUAAUACCGCAUACGACCUGAGGGUGAAAGCGAGGGAUCUUCGGACCUCGCGCUAUUGGAGCGGCCGAUGGCAGAUUAGCUAGUUGGUGGGGUAAAGGCCUACCAAGGCGACGAUCUGUAGCUGGUCUGAGAGGACGACCAGCCACACUGGGACUGAGACACGGCCCAGACUCCUACGGGAGGCAGCAGUGGGGAAUUUUGGACAAUGGGCGAAAGCCUGAUCCAGCAAUGCCGCGUGUGUGAUGAAGGCCUUCGGGUUGUAAAGCACUUUUGGCGGGAACGAAAAGGACUGUGCCAAUACCACGGUUCGAUGACGGUACCCGCAGAAUAAGCACCGGCUAACUACGUG
rnacentral:rRNA from 1 species